CACUUACAUCAGAUCUCCAGUCAGAAGAGGAGGCAAUUCCUAAAAAGAGGAAGCCAAUGCCGGUCCAUUUCUAUGGAGACUCGGAUGGAGACAAUGAAAAUGAAAAUUCCCCCCACAAAACAGGGGUCCAACCACGAGCGGGACAGUUGUCCCUCCAAUCAUUGCCUCCUCCUAACUAUUCCAUGUACUCCAUCACCAGCAGGACAGCGAACACGCCAGGGGGACACGCCCACCUGGCGAGUGGCGAGGUGGUUCAGACACCAUUGCCUGCUGUGCUGUUCCAGUUCAAAUCCUAGGCAUGCUGGAGACAAUUACAGAGGUGAGAGACCCGGUUCCGUUUCCGUGUACCACAAUGGAGGAAGUGGAACUUUUUGAGCAACGGCUCAAAGAUCCCGUCAACAUUCUAAUGAGUGGUGAGUUUUUUUGUUUUAAGAAUCUCACGCAAAGCUGAUUAAAAUCUAUUGUAUGUAAUUUACACUAGACAAUACCAUGUUUGAUGGAAAUGUUUUUUCAAACAUUCUGUAAAGUAUCAAAUAUUAAUCGUACUUUUUCGAUCCAUUUUCGAUUUCCUCCCUGGCAACGAUCGGACGACAUGAUGCCAAACGUGGAACAUCCUCGAAUGAAUGGAAAAAAAUUAUUCAGUCAAAUAACAUCUAAGACUUUGCUCCUGCAUGCCGUCAGAAAGAAUCAUGCCACACAUGCAUCCACUGAUGAACAGAUUCUAAAGCAUGCCAUUAGGUGUUCAACCUGGCAGCAAACCGGGGUAGCUCCAGGAGGCGUGCUACUGUCGACAUCCCCCACACUGAACAGAAUUAAAAAUAUAUAUUUAUAUUUUUAUAUAUAAUAUAUAUUUAUAUAUAUAUUAGGGCUGUCAAUCGAUUAAAAAAAAUUAACUAAUUAAUCGCACAUUGUGAAAUUGCGAUUAAUUACAAACUUUUAAUCGCAAUUGAAAGUGUUGACAGAUAAACGGAUUGACCAAUCACGUUGAAGGUUUCAUGUGACGAGUUCUUUCCGCGCCGCGUCACCCGACACGUCGCCCUCCGUUCCUCUGUGUAUCAGAGGGGGAGACGGGAGGAAGGAGGAGCAGGAGGAAACCCGACUGAUUCAUCCACGAGUUAAACUGAUUUCUGCUCCUUAUUUUUGCGGAGAAAUAAUGGUUUAAAAAACGGAAACAGUGUCAAACCGUACUGCCGUGGUUUGACAUUCAGAGGAGUGUAACAACUUCAACGAACACCGGAAGCAAGUCGAAGUGUCCUUGAGCAAGGCACUGAACCCCCAGUUGCUUCCCGGGCGCAUCACUGCAGCCCACUGCUCCUUAAUAACUAAGGAUGGGUUAAAUGCAGAGAACUAAUUUCCCCUUGUGGAUUAAUAAAGUAUAUUCAACACAAAAAAAAUGCGCUAAUUGCGUUAAAAUAUUUUAGUGCGUUAAGGCGGCCAAAUUAAUCGCAUAGAUUAACGCGUUAACGCUGACAGCCCUAAUAUAUAUAUAUACACACACACCAGUUCUCAGUUGGAAGUUCCACCAUUCACUUGAGGCCACUGCGACCUAUUCUCUGGGAGAAUUGUGGUAUUUGGGUUAGGUGGUCGGUAUUUAUGGUUGUAUUAGUUGUAGCUCUUGUGUUCUAAUGUGAGCUAUAGUUUUUACUCUAUAUGUAUGUGUGUAUAUAUUGUCUCGAACUAAUUAUCAAUAAAUAUGAUUCAUACAUGUACAAGAAAUAAUUUGAUGUCCUUUUAAUAAACUGUUUUUGAUAUUAUU